UACGUAGGUGACAAGCGUUGUCCGGAAUUAUUGGGCGUAAAGGGAGCGCAGGCGGUUGGAAUAGUCUGAUGUGAAAGCCCACGGCUUAACCGUGGAAGGUCAUUGGAAACUGUCCAACUUGAAUGCAGAAGAGGUAAGUGGAAUUCCAUGUGUAGCGGUGAAAUGCGUAGAUAUAUGGAGGAACACCAGUGGCGAAGGCGACUUACUGGUCUGUGAUUGACGCUGAGGCUCGAAAGCGUGGGUAGCGAACAGGAUUAGAUACCCCGGUA
rnacentral:rRNA from 1 species